rnacentral:rRNA from 1 species
GACGAACGCUGGCGGCGUGCCUAAUACAUGCAAGUAGAACGCUGAAGAGAGGAGCUUGCUCUUCUUGGAUGAGUUGCGAACGGGUGAGUAACGCGUAGGUAACCUGCCUGGUAGCGGGGGGUAACUAUUGGAAACGAUAGCUAAUACCGCAUAAAAUGGAUUAUCGCAUGAUAAUCCAUUGAAAGGUGCAAAUGCAUCACUACCAGAUGGACCUGCGUUGUAUUAGCUAGUUGGUGGGGUAACGGCUCACCAAGGCGACGAUACAUAGCCGACCUGAGAGGGUGAUCGGCCACACUGGGACUGGGACACGGCCCAGACUCCUGCGGGAGGCAGCAGUAGGGAAUCUUCGGCAAUGGACGGAAGUCUGACCGAGCAACGCCGCGUGAGUGAAGAAGGUUGUCGGGUCGUAAAGAUCUGUUGUAAGAGAAGAACGAGUGUGAGAGUGGAAAGUUCACGCUGUGACGGUAUCUUACCAGAAAGGAACGGCUAACUACGUG